CCAAGGAUUCAUAACUAAUAAAUUACGUUAAUGGUCAUCCGCGUAUUUACCGGAAGAGAUUGGACUUUGAUCGAGACGGCAUUACUUGGUCUAGGUGUUUCCUCUGAGUUUGGAGCGAAUCGGCCAGAAGUCUCUGCUCCUGGCAAUAUAGCUUUGGGCAGAAGAAAGAAAUCCUACGGGACACACGAUGAGAAGGACUCACAGUUUUCUUUCGGCGGCCACACCAGACAGAGGCUUUGCUUUAGUGUCAGGUUAGACAGAGACCAAAACAGCUUGUCCCAAGAUCACUGGACGCCAGACCGUGGAGACCUGCGGGCCGAGAGAGGAGGGCCGGAGGGGACAGAGCGGCGCUGCUGCUCUGUGGCUGAUCCGCACGGGGCCUGGUGACAGGGGCCCAGGGGGUGCACGUGGACGGAGGCUUACGUGCAGAAGGUGAGGGAAACGGUACCGUUGGUGGAAGACGGGCAGCGUGCGACAACACAGUUGCUUUAAACCGCCCGCCCCUCCCGAGAGCUCGGGGCUCAGGUGACUCUCCCUGGUGACCCCCAGAGGACUGCCUGUCUUGCAUUGCUCCUUUAGGACGUCGCUUCGGGCUUUCUGUCAUACACACCCACCAUGAAGUGGUGCUUUUGGGGCGCCCUGGGGCUCCGUCCAUGGAGUGUGUGACUCUGGCUUUCAGUUCUGGCCAUGAUUUCACAGUUCGUGGGGUCGAGCCCCACCUUGGGCUGGACGCUGACAGCUGGGAGCCUGCUUGGGAUUCUCCCUCUUUCUCUUCCUUUCUCUCUUUCUCAAAAAUAAAUAAGCAAAUGUUUUUAAAAAAAGAAAUGGUGCUUUGGAGCCUUGCUAAGCGGG
rnacentral:lncRNA from 1 species